rnacentral:lncRNA from 1 species
AUAACUAUUCUAAGAAUGACCAGAAAAACUGUGAGAUUGGCCAAGAUUCCAACAGAACAGGUAUAGGACCUAGACCUUCAGUGUGGGUUUAAAAGUGAUAAUAAGAAAAAUCAUCUUAAAUGCCUCUCUAAACAUUUUUCCUUUCAGUAAUCCAGAGAUUUUUUAAUCCCUAAAACCCUAUCCACCAUUAAGAUAUGAGAGGAGAGGACAGAGGAAACACCCAGAACAACAAAGUCAUCAGUGGAGGAUUUCAAAACCAAUGAUGAAAGAAGUAUCUACCAGAUUGAGGAGAGGGCACACACCCCUCCUGAGCAGCAGGAGAGCUUAGCAGGGAGCAAAGUGCACGCCCUGCCUGGAUUCUUUAGGAUCUCAGUGGUCCCACUCUGGACCCCUAAGAUUUAGCCAGUGGAGGGGUUGAAUGUGGAGCCAGAAAUGAGGCAGAGAAGAUAGAUAAGCUAGAAACUUCAAACUGGCGAGUUGUGCCCUGGGUGGAAAAAGGCCCUCAGGCACUGCAAUUCCUGUCUGGGACAGAGGGCAGACCACCACACCACACAUAGUGCCUGCUGGCCUAAACCAGCAUGUGUGUUUGCAGUGGAGGAGAAAGAAGCAUGAGUUGUUAGAGGGGACUGUAUUAGCCAUCCUCAAGUUUACUACACUUUCCCUUGCAGUAUAGAAAAGAGCCAGAAGCUCCUACUUGUUCCUAGAAAAAGUCAUAGAAGCUAGCCAAGAGUCAGGAAUCUAUGAACUUGCCUUUGGGUCACUACAGAGAGAGGUGAGAUGACACUGAAGGCCUUGGGUUACACAGGCAGGCCAGAAAGCUAAUGGAGGACAAAACUGACAUUUUAUCAGCAGACACAGUGAGGAUAGAAGUCAAGUGAGGUGAGUACAUAUCUCAGCUGGUGAUCAACAGGGAAACGAGAGAACCACAUCACUUGGGUAAGGAGCCCUUCCCCAAAGCCGGAAGGUAAAUAAGCUUCCUUCUGCACCCAGACACCAUCUUGGGCAUAAGAAAAAGGAAGGAAGACCCUUCAGAAAAUAAAACAGCUCCAAAAGGGAGUUUGGAUUUUAAAUUGCUUAAAUAUGAUUAUAUAUGCAACCACAAAAAUAAAGCAGUUAAAUUGGAAUAGGUUCAUUUACCUUCAAAUCACACACUUUAAAAAAAAUAGUUUUCUAAAAUCAUUGGGAAUUUAAGUAGCUCCAGUGUUAGCUGAGAUCAGUUAUAGAAAUGCAGACGCUAGGCUUGUUGCAGACUCACUCCAGGUUAAUUCAAUUUGGGCCUUACUCUGUAUAAAGCGCAAGUGUCCACUUCAGUUUGAGAUGCUCAAGCUUGCUCAGUUCAACUCACCACCCUCCUGACUAGGUGUCCAAGGAGUCCUUUGGUCUUAUGGUUGUCCUGGAGACAGAAGUAGGUUACAAAUCAGAGAGUAGCUUCCUCUGAUUGCUGCGGAGUAAAGGAAAGAGGACUCAGCUGGGCACCCACAGUGGCUGUCGUUCACCUGCAGUACGCUUAAGGCCAGCACCGAAGCUCCCAAUACAGACCAGGACCAUCAGGGUGGGGCAUGGAACUUCUCUGGCAGUGACCUCCCUGCUAGCCCUUGUGUUCACUUCCACACAUACACUUCUCCCCCCUUCCUCAGCCAAUUUAACCUACGUCCCCUUUCUCCUGUUGCCACUGAAGAAAAAUUCUAUUUUCUCUUUUUCUGACACAGUAGCUAUUAAUGGCUAACAGGAAUGAUAAUCCAUUAAACCUGGACCCCAGAGCAUUGAUUCCUUUCCUCAAGGUCAGGAAGAGCUUUCUCCAGAAACAGUAUUUCCAGAUCUCCCAUUUCUGAAAGAGAAGGGAGAGGUUUGCUUUCCAUGCUAAAGAAGGUUGCCCAAACAUUCACUACUACCGUCCUCCUAUGCCCAACAGGACAAAUGACUUCCAGAGAGAGAGAAAGAAGAAAGAAAAAGAAAGAAAGCUUGAAGGAAGGAGGAAGGAAGGAAGGAAGGAAGGAAGGAAGGAAGGAAGGAAGGAAGGGAAAGGAAGGAAGAAAAGAAAGAAGGGAAGA